rnacentral:rRNA from 1 species
CGUAGGACACAAGCGUUAUCCGGAGUUACUGGGCGUAAAGGGCGUGUAGGCGGAUCGGUAAGUCUACUCUGAAAGCUCCUGGCUAAACUGGGAGAGGCGAGUGGAGACUGUCGGUCUAGAGUGAGGAAGAGGAAAGUGGAAUUCCGCGUGUAGUGGUGAAAUGCGUAGAGAUGCGGAGGAACACCAGUGGCGAAAGCGGCUUUCUGGUCCUUAACUGACGCUGAGGCGCGAAAGCAUGGGGAGCGAACGGGAUUAGAAACCCCGGUAGUCCAUGCCGUAAACGAUGUUCACUAAACGUUCGUUUCCCGCGAGGGAAGUGGGUGUUGAAGCUAACGCAGUAAGUGAACCGCCUGGGGAGUACGGUCGCAAGGCUA